GGGCCCGUCACGGUUUCGACGGGGUAGAAUCAAGGGGAAAGUGCAAGCAGGAAAGAUACAUCCUUAAAAGUUCAAAAACAAUAAUUGCAAAUAAUAAUUCGCACUUCGAAUCUGUCCGCUUAGCGGCUUAAUCGGGUGGUUGUCCUAAACCAUCUAUCCAAGAAGGACUUUAGCAGUUGGCUCUGCCAAGAAAUAAAAGGCCACCAGACCUCAUUCUGUUACAACAGAGGCAAAAAACGUAGUAACUAUCCUGCUAAUCGGAGAAAUGAUCAGACAAGCUUGUGAAUGACUUAAACUAAGACUAUUGCGGACGCGGGUUCGACUCCCGCCGGGUCCACCA
rnacentral:tmRNA from 1 species